rnacentral:lncRNA from 1 species
UUUUUUACAAGCAAUGUUGAACACUUGGUGAUAUCUUUGGUCACGGUUAUAGCUCUCUUCAUGAGAAUGAUGGUGAUGCCUCCUUCUUCUAUGUUCUUCUUCACCAAGGACUGAAGCUUUGGAAGGAGAAUGCUGUUUGUAAGAUGCACCACUUGAAUAGCCAGCCAUUUUGCAAAUAAAAAACAGCAAACACACAAAAACAGCAAACAAGUUAAGAAACAAAAUUAGCAAAAACAGUGAGCUUGGCAAUGAAAUUGCCGAAGUGAAUGGAGGCAGAAAAAAGAGGUCACUCUCAAAGAAAAAAUGUUCUUGCACCAAUCUGAUCUUGAGGCCUUGGAAUCCUCAAAUGAAAUAUGUCAAAGCAAGCACACCAAUCUCAAA